rnacentral:rRNA from 1 species
UUUAAUGGCCGCAGUAUUUUGACUGUGCAAAGGUAGCAUAAUCAAUAGUUUCUUAAUUAGAAGCUGGAAUGAAAGGUUGAACGAAAAAGUUGCUGUCUCUUUAAUAAAAUAAUAUAAUUUUAUUUUUAAGUUAAAAAGCUUAAAUAUAUUUAAAAGACGAGAAGACCCUAUAGAGUUUAAUAAAUAAUUAUAUGAUAUUUUUUUAAUUUUUAAUUUUAUAGAAUAAUUUAUUUGAUUGGGGUGAUUAAAAAAUUUAAUGAACUUUUUUUUAUUAAAACAUAUUUAUAUGAAUAAUUGAUCCAUUAUAAUGAUUAUAAGAUUAAAUUACCUUAGGGAUAACAGCGUAAUUUUUUUUUAGAGUUCAAAUCGAUAAAAAAGUUUGCGACCUCGAUGUUGGAUUAAAAUUAAUUUUUGGUGUAGAAGCUAUUUAAUUAGGUCUGUUCGACCUUUAAAAUUUUACAUGAUCUGAGUUUAAACCGGUGUGAGCCAGGUUGGUUUCUAUCUUUAAAUAGAAAAUAUAUUUUAGUACGAAAGGACCAAGUAUUUUUAAUAGUUAAUAUAGUUUUGAUUAAAAAU